rnacentral:rRNA from 1 species
AACGAACGCUGGCGGCAUGCCUAACACAUGCAAGUCGAACGAGACCUUCGGGUCUAGUGGCGCACGGGUGCGUAACACGUGGGAAUCUGCCCUUUGCUUCGGAAUAACAGUCAGAAAUGACUGCUAAUACCGGAUGAUGUCGAAAGACCAAAGAUUUAUCGGCAAAGGAUGAGCCCGCGUAGGAUUAGGUAGUUGGUGGGGUAAAGGCCUACCAAGCCGACGAUCCUUAGCUGGUCUGAGAGGAUGAUCAGCCACACUGGGACUGAGACACGGCCCAGACUCCUACGGGAGGGAGCAGUAGGGAAUAUUGGGCGAUGAGCGAAAACCUGGUCCAGCAAUGCCGCGUGAGUGGUGAAGGCCUUAGGGUUGUAAAGCUCUUUUACCAGGAAUGAUAAUGACAGUACCUGGAGAAUAAGCACCGGCUAACUCCGUG